rnacentral:misc_RNA from 1 species
AAGUCGUAACAAGGUUUCCGUAGGUGAACGAGCAGGAAGGACCAUUAUCGUAGGCUGCGGGCCCUGGUCGAAUAGAACCCUUGCCUUUAUGAGUCCGUCCGUUUCCUCGGCAGGGCCCGCCUGCAUGGACCCAAAACCAAACCCUUUUAUUACCUGUAUCAGUCUGAAAAAUAAACAAAAAUUAAAA